AAUCUUCAGGGCGGGGCGUAAUUCCCCACCGGCGGUAAAGCCCGCGAGCAUUUUAUGCAGAUUCGGUGAGUGUACAUCACAAUUCCGAAGCCGACAGUAUAGUCUGGAUGAAAGAAGAU
rnacentral:ncRNA from 1 species